GUGGUCUGCAGCACGCGC
rnacentral:snRNA from 1 species